rnacentral:rRNA from 1 species
UACGUAGGGUGCGAGCGUUAAUCGGAAUUACUGGGCGUAAAGCGUGCGUAGGCGGUUCGCUGUAUCCGAUGUGAAAGCCCCGGGCUUAACCUGGGAAUGGCAUUGGAAACUGGCGGGCUUGAGUGCGGCAGAGGGGGGUGGAAUUCCGCGUGUAGCAGUGAAAUGCGUAGAGAUGCGGAGGAACACCGAUGGCGAAGGCAGCCCCCUGGGUCGACACUGACGCUCAGGCACGAAAGCGUGGGGAGCAAACAGG